rnacentral:misc_RNA from 1 species
GAAUUAUUUAGCCCAGAGCUGGCAGAAAAGCAUUUCAUAGUAGCGUUUAACAAAAUGGAUCUUCCAGAAGCAUAUGAAAAAUGGAAUUCAUUCAACGAAUACCUGCAAACCCGUGGCAUUCAUCCCUUUUGCAUAAGUGCAAUGAACAGGCAGGGAACCCAGGAUAUUGUUUCUGCAGCUUAUGAGUUUUUACAAAAGGAAUUGAAGGCGAAAAAGGAAGUUGAAG